AUGGAACGCAUGGCCACUUCCUACUUCAAGGAAGUUUACACCAAAGAUCCGACUCUCACACCUGAUGUCGUGCUUGAGGCUAUUGAACUUAAUGUAACUGAACAGAUGAACGCCAAGUUGAGUGCGCCAUUUUCUGAAGAGGAAGUGUCCAACGCCCUGUUUCAAAUCGUCCCGCUGAAAGCUCCGGGCACGGAUGGUUUCCCGGCAAGGUUCUAUCAACGGUAUUGGGCCGCUCUAAAAUCUGAAAUCACAGCUGCAGUGUUGGAGUUUUUUGUCUCUGGCUCCAUGCCAGAAGGGGUUAAUGAUACAACGAUCGUCCUCAUUCCAAAAGUCCCUCAUCCCAAGGAGCAAAAGGAUUUCAGGUCGAUCAGCUUAUGCAAUGUAAUAUACAAACUGGUUUCUAAAUGUUUGGUUAAUCGUCUCCGUCCCUUGCUGUCGAAGCUGAUUUCUGAGAACCAAAGUGCUUUUAUUCCGGGCCGGCUCAUCUCGGAUAAUUAUAUUAUUGCUUUCGAGUGCAUCCAUCACAUACAGUCUCUGAAGAGCAACAGUCGGGCGGCCUGCGCGUACAAACUCGAUCUCUCGAAGGCGUAUGAUCGGGUCGACUGGGACUUUCUGGAGAAGGCUCUUAGCAGAUGGAGGUUUUCUUAUCAGUGGAUUGCCUGGAUAAUGACGUGUGUUAAAUCAGUCCGAUAUUCGGUUAAACUUAAUGGCAAGCUAUUGGAAGUUUUUUCACCAUCGAGAGGCCUUCGACAAGGUGACCCAUUGUCUCCGUUCUUGUUUCUCUUUGUUGCUGAUGCUUUAUCUGCUCUCCUGUCUAAGUCAGUGAAUGAGGGAAGCUUGAACAGGGUGAGCAUUUGUCGGGGUGCACCAGAGAUUUCUCACCUCCUAUUUGCAGAUGAUACCAUGCUAUUUUUUGAAGCUUCAGGCCAGCAAGCGAAUGUUGUUAAAGGCUUGUUGAACACUUAUUCCUCGGCGACGGGUCAACUCAUAAACCCCGAGAAGUGUUCCAUCCUCUUUUCUGACAAUUGCGAAGGGUCAUUUGCGGACAAGAUCAAGAAUAUAUUGGAGGUAGCACAGUAG
rnacentral:rRNA from 1 species